rnacentral:lncRNA from 1 species
AAACCAGUAGCAAAUACACCACCAUAAAAAUUUCAGCAAUUAGGUUUGAAUAUCCAUGUGCCCAACAACGUCAAACCAGUAGCAAUAACGGCAAUAAUGUAGUAUCUUCUUGCUCGAUUUUGUUUCUCUUUAGAAGUCUUGACUUUGUUCAACAAACCCCAGAUUACACGAUUUGCUUGUGAAGGGUGUCGUUCUUCAUACCAAUCAAAGUAACCGCAUCCACCCAAUUUCUAUAAAAACAAAAGCACAAUUACAAAAUAAUUACAAGUCAAUAAUUAAUCAACUAAUUAAAUAAAAAAAAUUACCUUUGAAAUCUUACAAGUACCUACGACUUGAAUUUUGUUAAGUUCAAGAAGUCUUUAACAGAGCUUCAUGACUGCACUUACAAUAUCAAAAAUCUUUAUCACAAAAAAUAGUUGAAGAUGCGCUCGACUUUGUCAAGCUCAGUUGGAAAAAAUAAAAAAAGGAUGAAGAAAAGAAAGACCAAAUGCAAAUAAUUUGAAGAAUUUGGAUAGAUGAAAAAAGAUGGUGACGAAGAAGAAGAUUUGAUAAUUUAGGGUUAAAUCUUAGGAAGAAAAUAAAUAUAUAAGACAAUGGAGAAAAAAUGACCGUUGGGGGCCAAAUGACGGCAAGUCAGCAAAAAGUGCCAAACUGACAUAUUUGAUGCCUAUUUUAUUUUACGUGUUUAAAAUGAACACUGUCUACUUUAUGCCUAUUUUAUUUUAGGUGUUUGAAUUGAACAUUGUCGAUGGGUUCUGCCUUUUUUAUUUCAAUUCACUUUCACUUUUUUACAUGUAGUGGUAAUUUUUUAUGUCCAAUAAAAGUUGAAUUUUUAUAAUGCAAUGAUUCUCCAUCCGUUGUAACAGUUAUUUCACCUUUUCUGACAUAUAUUUUAUCUAUUGCAAUAGGUUGUUGCAUUAUGUUGAUGUUUCUAUCUAAGUCUAUCUGUUGCAAAAGUUGGAAGACCUGUUUGAUAAAUUCCAACAAAUUACCUACCUGUUGCAACACAUGUCUAAAUCUGUUUGAUAUUUUUCAACAGAUGUGUCGUCUUUGCAAUAGAUACAUUUUCUGUUGCAAUAUUUGAAUGUAGUAUUCCAUUUCAAUUAAUAAGUUCAAAUCUAAGCGAAAAAUAAAAUUCAUAGACAAAAUAAAAUAAAUCCAAGACUUUAGAAAUUAGCUGAAAUAAAUCAAUGAAUAAAUGAAAUGUAAAAAAAUUAUUAUGGGUACAGAUCUCAACAAAUACAUCAACAAUUUAAGUAUUGAUGCCAAGGAUUCCUAUGGAGAGGUGAGGUUAUUACUUUGACAGGCUCAAGCUAUAAAGAUUCACUCAAUAUGGACAAGUUUUUC